rnacentral:rRNA from 1 species
AUACGGAGGGGGCUAGCGUUGUUCGGAAUUACUGGGCGUAAAGCGUACGUAGGCGGACUGAUCAGUUGGGGGUGAAAUCCCAGGGCUUAACCCUGGAACUGCCUUCAAUACUGUCAGUCUUGAGAUUGGAAGAGGUGAGUGGAAUUCCUAGUGUAGAGGUGAAAUUCAUAGAUAUUAGGAGGAACACCAGUGGCGAAGGCGGCUCACUGGUCCAAUACUGACGCUGGGGUACGAAAGCGUGGGGAGCAAACAGGAUUAGAUACCCUAGUAGUCC